GGCUACACAGGACAUUAGACAUUUCAUCGUUUUUAAAUCUAGUUUUAUGUGUGCCAGAAAGUGCCUAUUUAUUUUGUAAAACAUUUUGUCUUCAUACUUAAAGUUAGAAGGCCUAUCUUGACACUUUUGGUCCUGUUAGGUAAAGACGCAUUGAGUAACAGAGAUGGCAGCACAUCUGGAAUCAAUACAGCCGAACUGGAUUCUGCCCCAGCUCUGGAGUCAGAGAGGUCGAGUUCUAGCUGACCAGGUCACAUCACUCAGAGUGCGCCGGCACGGAUGGUUGCUAUGGUGAGGGUUAUGGUGGAAGAGAUAUGGGGAUUGAUGGAGAAUUUUUGCUGGCUCAAGUAACAAAAAAAUACACUUGUGUUUUUUUAUUUUUGCAUUUACACUUUCUUAUACUCAAUUAGAAUUAAGCAAAUAUAUAAAUAAGAACUUCUUGAAUUGUCCUGCUGUACACUGGUAAAGCUAGAAAAAAAAGAAAGAAGGGAAUUGUUUUGCUAAUUAACAUUGUGUAAACAAAUUUCUGUGUAAUUAUAGCUCAUGAAACUGAUAUUAACCCUGUAAGCCAUGGUAUUUUUGCGUCCCUGAAGGUGUUGACACACACAAAAAUGACACAUAACUCCAAAACUGUAGCAAGGAGGUUCAAAAGGUACUGUAUGUAUUUUUUUAUAGAAAUCUUUAUAUAAACAUUUAUCUUUACAUUUGAUAAUCCUCCUGUUGAGAAAUAGUUGAUAAAAGUGUAAGAAAAAUGUAUGUGCUCAAGGGAAAUAUAUAAUAUCUUUCAAAUUUGACAUUCAAUGUCUCAGGAAAGAAAUAAGAAUGAUUAUUUUAGUGAUGUUCCCCAACACAUGAGCUGUAUGUGAAUUAAAUAUUUUGGUGAUGACAUGAAGUAAUCAAAAGUUACAGCAUUUGGAACCAAGGUUGCCUUUUUCUUAACCCUUGACAGUUUUAGUCAAAGCACCAAACAAUUACCGGUAUGCUUGUUUUAUUUUACCCUGUAAGAGCUUUCAAAUGACUUAUUACACAUGUCUAUCUGAGCUGUAUGAUGAUUUUUUAAUUGUGAAAAAGAAUAAUAAUAAUUUGAUUUAAUUAGGAGUUUUACUAAUAAUAUCCUUUUUUUGUUGUUGUUGUUGUUGUUGUUGAUCAGGGCGAUAGUUCGAAAUAAAAUUAGAAUGUUUUUCACAAAGGCCCUCCUGCCCGCAGUACACUCCGUAGAACUCAAUGAUUAGAUCGUAGCAAAAGAUGAUCAAAAUAAUUACAUUCAUUCAUUUAGAAUGAUACCUAUUUUGUGUUUUUCCAUUUAGUGGUUGCUCAGUAAUUUGAUUAUGAUGGUCUAUCUACUAAGACUGGAGGGCAAGGACUGUACAUAACCCUUAUUUAUCUUAAUCAGAAACUUAAUCAUCAGCAUUCAUCAGCACUUUACAUUAAAUAUGAGAUUAAUCUCCGAGUCCAUACUAUAAAAAUAUAUUUGACCUAAAGAGGGUUAUGUUGGGGGUCAAUGUUUUGAUGUAUAUCCUAUAGUUUAAGACAACGGUUGCAAUCACACAUAAGUAAUUAAGUCAGUUCUCAUCAGGCAGUGUUGAAAAGUUAAAUACUAAUUGAAAUUAAGUGACAUCGAGCCAAGUAUGGUGACCCAUACUCAGAAUUCGUGCUCUGCAUUUAACCUGUCCAAAGUGCACACACACAGCAGUGGACACACACAUGGAGCAGUGGGCAGCCAUUUGUUGUGGUAUUGCCGGCACGAGACUCAAACCAUAACCUUAGGGUUAGGAGUCAAACUCUCUAACCAUUAGGCCACAACUUCCCCAAAAGUCUAUGUAAGCAGCAUAGUACUAAACUACGAAAAAACAUCAUUCUGUUGAACUAGCCAGCAUCUCAUAUGCAGAAGCUAAGCAAAUAUUCACUUACACUAAAAUCAUUUUAUUUGCUAUUUGGUUUAUUCAUACACUCUCAGAAAAAAAAAGGUACAAAAAUUGUCA